rnacentral:lncRNA from 1 species
UAUCGUUCACUUGGCAUUGAAUUGGGAAAUGGUAUUGAACUUUCAAGAAUCCAGAGUUACAUCAAGACCUAUUGUAAUUAUUCUUAAAAAGCGACCAGUUUGAUUUGAUUUCCUAUAAUUUCCAUGUAGUUGAUUUCUUGAUUUUGUCCAAUCAUUAAGAAUUUAAUUUUUUUUCUUUAAUAAUCGAUUUAUAAAACACUACGUCACAUAGAAUGUUCUCGUUAGGGCCAGUUUGAUCUAGAUAUUGAGAUCUCUGCAUAUAUAAGAUUUUCUUGCAAAAUAAUAUUUAUUGAAAAAAUUUAAAUGGUUCAAAGUAAUGAAAAAAGAAUUAAUAUAGUUGAUCCUAAAUUUAUCGGUACAAAAUUUGAGCCUACUUCCAUAUCCAUUACAAGAUACAAUCUUAUUCUCAAUAAUAUAGUUAAGUACAUGAAUAAAUUGUCAUUGUAAUUAAUCUUAAACUAUGUUUGAUAAGAGUUUAAAUAUAUAAAUUAUAAACAGAUAGAAAUUAAUAGUGAAAAGUAGAUAAUAAUUCAGAAUUUUUUAUAAAUAUAUAAAAAAAUAAUUUGACCUAUUACAAAUAAUUUAAAAAUAUUAGCCAUAGCAACUUUUUUCGGAGAAUAAUUUGACACCUAUUAUUUGAAAAAUUAAAGAGUUUUGAAUAGUAUUUUUGGAGAAUGUGUGGUUAAAAAGUAAGGAAACAUUAUUGAUUUGUAUAUAGAAUAUUUUACUAUGUGAAUGUGUGAUGGAGAAUGAUACGGUAACAAACAAUUUAAAUUUUCAAAGGUUGUCAUACAAGGGCUUAUUGAAAUUCAUUCCCAAAGAUAAUUAAUGUGUGAAUUGCGGAACUAAAGAUGGGACUUGGUGGUUUUACUUAUUUGAUGGAAUAGCAAGAAAAGUUAAGUGUAUAUAGUUUAUUUUAU